rnacentral:rRNA from 1 species
UGAAUUGACGGGGGCCCGCACAAGCGGUGGAGCAUGUGGUUUUAAUUUCGAUGCAACGCGAAGAACCUUACCUACUCUUGACAUCUAGAGAAGCCAGCGGAGACGCAGGCGUGCCUUCGGGAACUCUAAGACAGGUGCUGCAUGGCUGUCGUCAGCUCGUGUCGUGAAAUGUUGGGUUAAGUCCCGCAACGAGCGCAACCCUUAUCCUUGUU